rnacentral:rRNA from 1 species
GGGAACCUCACCCGGCCCGGACACCGCGAGGAUUGACAGACUGAGAGCUCUUUCUCGAUUCGGUGGGUGGUGGUGCAUGGCCGUUCUUAGUUGGUGGAGCGAUCUGUCUGGUUAAUUCCGAUAACGAACGAGACCCAACCUGCUAACUAGCCCUCGGGUCCUGCUUCUGUUGGGCCCGACGGAAUGAUUCGCUUCUUAGAGGGACUCGCGGCGCCUAGCCGCACGAAGGGGGGCGAUAA